UACGUAGGGGGUAAGCGUUGUCCGGAUUUAUUGGGCGUAAAGAGCGUGUAGGCGGCCAUGUAGGUCCGUUGUGAAAACUCGAGGCUCAACCUCGAGACGCCGAUGGAAACCAUGUGGCUAGAGUCCGGAAGAGGAGAGUGGAAUUCCUGGUGUAGCGGUGAAAUGCGCAGAUAUCAGGAAGAACACCCGUGGCUAAGGCGGCUCUCUAGUACGGUACUGACGCUGAGACGCGAAAGCGUGGGGAGCAAACAGG
rnacentral:rRNA from 1 species